GGGUGCUUAGCUCAGCUGGGAGAGCAUCGCCCUUACAAGGCGAGGGUCACAGGUUCGAUCCCUGUAGCACCCA
rnacentral:tRNA from 2 species